rnacentral:rRNA from 1 species
AUACGGAGGGUGCGAGCGUCGUUCGGAAUCACUGGGCGUAAAGGGCGCGCAGGCGGUUUGUCAAGUCAGAUGUGAAAGGCCACGGCUCAACCGUGGAGGUGCAUCUGAAACUGGCAGACUUGAGUACCGGAGGGGAAAGUGGAAUUCCCGGUGUAGAGGUGAAAUCCGUAGAUAUCGGGAGGAACACCGGAGGCGAAGGCGACUUUCUGGACGGAUACUGACGCUGAGGCGCGAAAGCGUGGGGAGCAAACAGGAUUAGAAACCCUAGUAGUCC